rnacentral:tRNA from 3 species
GCGGGUGUAGCUCAGUUGGUUAGAGCGCCGGCCUGUCACGCCGGAGGUCGCGGGUUCGAGCCCCGUCAUCCGCGCCA